rnacentral:sRNA from 1 species
GGGAAAGGUUCCAUGUGA